GACGAACGCUGGCGGCGUGCCUAACACAUGCAAGUCGAGCGGAGAUACAUUGAAGAGCAAUCAGAUAUGUAUCUUAGCGGCGGACGGGUGAGUAACGCGUGGGCAACCUGCCUCAUACUGGGGGAUAACACAGGGAAACUUGUGCUAAUACCGCAUAAUAUCAUUAUAGGGCAUCCUGUGAUGAUCAAAGGAGCAAUCCGGUGUGAGAUGGGCCCGCGUCCAAUUAGCUAGUUGGUGAGGUAACGGCCCACCAAGGCGACGAUUGGUAGCCGAACUGAGAGGUUGAUCGGCCACAUUGGGACUGAGACACGGCCCAGACUCCUACGGGAGGCAGCAGUGGGAAUAUUGCGCAAUGGGGGAAACCCUGACGCAGCAACGCCGCGUGAAGGAUGAAGGUCUUCGGAUUGUAAACUUCUUUGAUGAGGGACGAACACAAUGACGGUACCUCAAAAACAAGCCACGGCUAACUACGUGCCAGCAGCCG
rnacentral:rRNA from 1 species